CAUCGCUUCUUGAGUGGGAGUUUUGUCAAACAUCGCUUGGACGUGCUGGUCCUCAGAGGGUUAAUGGCUGCUAUGAGUUCCUCCACUCCCAUCCUCCAUCUCCUCUGGGAAAGUACUUCCUCCACUCCCAUCCUCCAUCUCCUCUGGGAAAGUACCGCCUGAGGGACAGAACCAAAGUUGUUUGUCUUGGUGACAGGAGGUGUUUAAAUCCUGACCUUAAUAACUUAGAGGUACGCAAACUGAAAGUGCAAGACACUAGACCUCUCAACCUUUGAUUUAGUUAGAGCUGUUUAACCCUUUGCUGGUCUUCUCUAGUAGUAGGGCACAUUUUGGUUAGUUAUCUUGUUUUAAAACUGACUCAACCUGACUGAGCAAUCUCUGGCAUUUGGUUGAGUACUGCAAAAAAAUUCCCAGGAUGCACUGUGGUGUUCAGAAUGAGAUAUUUUCAGAUGGCUCUGCUGAGGAAGUUAUGGGCAGAAAAAAAAAAUAUAGUGAUAUAAAGCAUACACCCAAACCAGUCUGAGGACUUUAUAACAUGCCAACCAACAGGUUGAGAUGGCCACUGAAUGUUAUAUGAAACUUAAUGCCAAACUUGAUUGUUAAAUAUCAAGUUUCCAUCUGACCGGCCACAUUCAUGGCCUGUCAAUCACCACUGAAACCACGCCCCUUUCCAAGCUCAUAUAACUUCGCCCUUCAGGCCUGGGACACUCCUUUUCCCUCCAAACAAAGCAGGCAGAACAAAGAGAGGAGUGAUACUGCAGAGUGAAAUCCUGUUAAGAGUUAAGAGAAAAACCAAGUACAGACUGUGGAUGCAUUACUGAUGUAAGUCAAGCUGAAUCCAACCUAAUUUGUAAUGAUUGAUUGUUCAAGGCUGUUUAGAUCUGUGACAUUGUCUUUGUAUAUUUAUUUGUUUAGACAAAAUCAUCCAUCCAUUAUUCACCUGCAACCACUGUACCACCUUUUCCCUGCACUGACGACAGUAAAGUCUUGGAACCUCA